CCGUCCGUGCUUCAGGGCUCAGCGUCCCGAUCUCGCCCGCUCCCAGCGGCCGGGAGCAGCGAGAUAACAGAUGCGUGAGGAAACGAGAUGAACACAACGACCUCACAGGACGGCGGGGACACCAGGCGUGCACCGCGCUGCUCCUGGCACCAUCCCGCCCAGUCAGUCCCAAAUGAGAGCAUCGCGGCAAAAGGGAAGAUUCGGCAGCGGAGAGGCACCAAAGCGGGAACAGGCAGGACACAGCGGGGAUGGAGCCGCGGAGUGACAUUGGAGGCUCUGUUCAACCAGACCAUGCCCAGCACUCAUUGCAAACGAGGAGGGGCUGGGGCUCUGGGACCAGAAGCAAGAGAUGUGCUGCACUCCUCCACAUGCUGUCCCAGCCCUGGCCCCUCAGGCAGCACAGGGAAACCUCCCAGUGGUGCUGAAAGGAAGGAACCAGUCUGGAUCUGCAAACCCAGUCUGGACUUGGAGAUGAUCAAACACUGGAACAACUUGACACGAGAGGCUGUGGAGGCUCCAUCCUUGAGAUAUUAUGGCCUUUAUAAUAUAAAGAGAAUCUACAAGAAUGAAUAUUCUCUCUGCUGCACAGCAAGAAACAGUGCUGGCAUCAAAACCAUCUCAGUGCUGGAGUGAAAGAGGAGCUGAUGUCUCAGCAGCAACAGGAGAACAACACCCAUCUAUCUCCAAGAUUUUUGCCAGCUUGGAAAAACUGGAGGCUGGAAACAUGGCCAGAAUCAUCUAGGGUAAUCUCAGGCAAAGUACAGAACAAAUUAAUUAAUAACCUAUUUCUGGAACCUUUGGAAUGAUGGAUCUGUGGCUGAUUAAUUGUGGUGGUGUGUUCCCCAGGGACUGAUCAUGUCAGCUGUACUGCUUUCCAUGGAGGGAGUUCAGUCACUGGCUUGGGAAAGUGUUGGUAGAGAAGUUCUAUGAUGAAAGGGAAUUUGAGCUUUUAAGAUACUUGGAUCAUUAAGAAAGAGUUAUUAUGUGUAGCAUUGAUUCAUCAACUUGUGCUUUUAAGUUAACUAGCUCUGUUUGGCAAUCUCUCCUUUUUCUGGACUGCAAGCAGUAAUCAAUCAAAAGCCAGCUCUGAAGUGACUGGAGAAGUACCAGCAGCAAACUGUGCCCUUGGCAGGGAGCUGGGUGUUCACUGGAACCUGCAAGGAGCUCUAAAGAAACUUCCCAUCUUACACUGCUGAAUCACCAGCCUGGGGUUGUUCUGGGAGAGGCAAGAAGAGUGGAGAGAACAUUACCUGUCAGACAGCUGUCAAGCACUGGAGAGAAAGGAAUUCCUUUGUUGGGACUGUUCUGGAAAAAGGCCAAGGUGCUCACCAAUUAUUGGACAAGUCUUCCCAUGAAUUGCAAAUCCAAAAGCCAGAGAACUGCAAGGUCCCAGUAUAAACUCCAGUUAUUUCCCAAGCACUCACCAGAGUUAAACUUUCCAUGCAGUUUCUCCACAGUCUCCUUGGUCAAGCUGUAAAUCAGGGGUAAAAUUGACUCAAUGACUCUUAGACAAAUGAAUGGAAGCAUCACAGCUAUUCCACAUGACUGCAGUUCUCCAGGGCCUGGAGCUGAGUUCCAGAGCUCUGUUCCUACCUGGCAGUGUGUUUCCAUGAGCACUCAAAGCUGCACUCACACAUCAUUUACAUAUCAAGGCAGAAAAUAUUUUCAUUUUUGAAAGAAAAAUACCAGAACUAGCACCACCCAAAGGUCUCACAGGAAAACUUCCUGGAAUUCCUUAUGCAUGGAAAAGAGCCUCAGCAAUUAACAUUUGCUGAUUCCUUCUUAAGGCUGGGAAAAGAGAACAUUAAAUGGAGGAAAAUGUUAGUUUGUCUGAAAACAAAAGCAAAACUUGUUCUAAAGCCAGAACUGAGCUGGAAUUUCUUUCUAGUGUUUGCAAAGGAUAAUAAAAUGAAGCACCAGGAAAAUAUCACAUCUCACAAUGAUGAAUGUUAUUACAUCAGACUUUCAAAAUACAGCUUGAUGAAUAUGUGCAGUAAAUACAGAAAUAAACACAGGAAAAAAUUCAGAAGUCAUUUGACUUUAAGUAGUACAAUUCUAAAAACUAUUUGUGUUGUGCAUCAACUCUUCUGCAGGGUUUUUCCAGCCAAAGUACUUCACAAACUUGGACCAGCUCUUCAUCCUUUGAAUUAUUUGGGGAAAUAUUUCCCUUUGAAUGUGGGAGAUAACUGAGCCAUGGAAAUGAGCAGAGGUGAAGGAGUGAUCCAGUGGCACAGGUAGGGAAAGCCUCCUCUCCUUGCCUCUCAGGAUGAAGGUGCUUUGGCAUCAGACAGCAGCACAGCAGCUGGGAGCCAGUGCUUGGAUCUGCUGCAGGCACCAGCAGCCACUGACCAACCUGGUAAACCAAUUUUGCCUUAGAAAAAGGCAAAGCUU